rnacentral:rRNA from 1 species
UACAGAGGUGGCAAGCGUUGUUCGGAAUUACUGGGCGUAAAGGGCGCGUAGGCGGUCCCGUCAGUCCCUUGUGAAAUCCCUCGGCUUAACCGGGGAACUGCGUCUGAUACUGGAUGGCUGGAGUUUGGGAGAGGGAUGCGGAAUUCCAGGUGUAGCGGUGAAAUGCGUAGAUAUCUGGAGGAACACCGGUGGCGAAGGCGGCAUCCUGGACCAACACUGACACUGAAAAGCGAAAGCCAGGGGAGCAAACGGG